rnacentral:rRNA from 1 species
GAUGAACGCUGGCGGCGUGCCUAAUACAUGCAAGUCGAGCGAACAGAUGAGGAGCUUGCUCCUCUGACGUUAGCGGCGGACGGGUGAGUAACACGUGGAUAACCUACCUAUAAGACUGGGAUAACUUCGGGAAACCGGAGCUAAUACCGGAUAAUAUAUUGAACCGCAUGGUUCAAUAGUGAAAGACGGUUUUGCUGUCACUUAUAGAUGGAUCCGCGCCGCAUUAGCUAGUUGGUAAGGUAACGGCUUACCAAGGCGACGAUGCGUAGCCGACCUGAGAGGGUGAUCGGCCACACUGGAACUGAGACACGGUCCAGAGUACUACGAGAGGCAGCAGUAGGGAAUCUUCCGCAAUGGGCGAAAGCCUGACGGAGCAACGCCGCGUGAGUGAUGAAGGUCUUCGGAUCGUAAAACUCUGUUAUUAGGGAAGAACAAAUGUGUAAGUAACUAUGCACGUCUUGACGGAACCUAAUCAGAACGCCACGGCUAACUACGUG